rnacentral:rRNA from 1 species
UACGGAGGGUGCAAGCGUUAUCCGGAUUUACUGGGUUUAAAGGGUGCGUAGGCGGGCCAUUAAGUCAGUGGUGAAAGCUCCGAGCUUAACUCGGAAACUGCCAUUGAUACUAUUGGUCUUGAAUUCGGUCGAGGUUGGCGGAAUGUGUCGUGUAGCGGUGAAAUUCGUAGAUAUCGGGAGGAACACCAGCGGCGAAGGCGGCCAUCUGGACAGAUAUUGACGCUGAGGUGCGAAAGCGUGGGGAGCAAACAGG